ensembl:lncRNA
UCCAGCAUCCUCGCCUGGAGAAACCCAUGGACAGAGGAGCCUGGAGGGCGAUGAUCCAUGGGGUCACAAAGGGUUGGACACACCACAUUAAAAUAGGAAUUUUUGACCUUUGCUAACAUUGAGGAGAUGGUGCGUUCCAAAGUGAGAUGACAGGGCACAGAGAAGGAUGAACAAGAAAGGCAGCCAGGGGUCAGGAGUGCGGGGAGGGUGCAUCCCCUCCAGCUUCGUCCAAGGACAGCCUUAGGGAGGACCGUGUAUUCCUUGACAGGUCACAGGGGCCUUGUGUCUGAUCCCAUCUGGGAACUUACAGGAUGAGGCCAGGCAGGGCAGCAAACCUGAGUGAGGGGUAAAGUCACGGUUCUGCGGGACAGCGGCCUUCCUGGGGCCAGCUGGGUUUCUGAGGUGCAGACGCCUGGACGUCACAGUUCUGCGGGACAGCAGCCUUCCGGGGACCAGCGGGGGUUCUGAGGUGCAGACUCCUGGACGUCACAGUUCUGCGGGACAGCAGCCUUCCGGGGACCAGCGGGGGUUCUGAGGUGCAGACUCCUGGAUGUCACGGUUCUGCAGGACAGCAGCCUUCCGGGGACCAGCGGGGUUUCUGAGGUGCAGACUCCUGGACGUCACAGUUCUGCAGGACAGCGGCCUUCCGGGGACCAGCGGGGGUUCUGAGGUGCAGACUCCUGGACGUCACAGUUCUGCGGGACAGUGGCCUUCCGGGGACCAGCGGGGUUUCUGAGGUGCAGACUCCUGGACGUCACAGUUCUGCGGGACAGCAGCCUUCCGGGGACCAGCGGGGUUUCUGAGGUGCAGACUCCUGGACGUCACAGUUCUGCGGGACAGCAGCCUUCCGGGGACCAGCGGGGGUUCUGAGGUGCAGACUCCCAGAUGCCAGCCACCAGCUGCUGGAUUAAGAGCCCACCCAAAUCCAGGAGGACUUCAUCUUGACAUCCCUAACUUAGUGACCUCGGUGAAGGGCCCAUCUCCAAGUGAGGUCAGAGGCACGGGUACUGGGAGUUAGGACCUAGGCACAUCUUUCGGGGAGCACAAGCCGACCUGCCGCGAAUGCCUGGGUCUGAGCGAGAGGGGAGGACGGGGUCCCCAGUGACUCAGGAUGGGGAACGGCCAGAGUCCACGUGUCCCAGCGAGGAGUGCUCAGCGCUCUGACAGCGAAUCCCGUUAGUGGGCUCACAGUGGGCCCCAGGGCCUGGCGGUGAGGGGCCUACUGGCGGCAGGUGGGGAAGGACCGAAGCCGGGACCCUUGGGACAUGGCCGCUCCCGUGGAUGCAGGGCCG